CAAGUGGGAGUAUAUGAGUAGAAGUGGAAGGGAGUGGGAAGGUGAAGAUUGAGGAUCCUUUUAAGUAGUUUUUGCUCAGCUAGCAAAACAAGCUGGGACAUGCAAGACAGAUAAACACAGCUGUUUGGGGCUGUCACUUGGGGCUCAGGAGCCAAGGUGUCCUGCUGUAGUGAAAAGUGCACCGGAAUUAAAUAGCUAGGCUUCUAAGCCCUACCACAGAGAGUCAACAGACAAACUGCCCAGGGAAAAGUUAUGACCUCAGGCAAAGUGAAUUUCUACAGCUAAGGCAGAUCCUGAAGAAGCUCACAAAUAAAGGCUGCAUACUCACACAUUCCCUGAAGCUUGACAGUGCCAGCCACCAUACUGUGAGGGAGCUGAAGUAAGCCCACAUGAGGAAGAAUUGAGGUCCCAAGCCAACAGCUGCAGCUAAGAUCCAAGCUCUCAACCAGUACCAGUUCAUCCGUUAUUUCCCAACAAUAUCAAUGAAUAAGAAGGAAGUCUUAAGGCUCCAGGAAUCCCCUCAGGGAGACUAGCUUUCAGAAUUUUAGGCACACUAAGAUAUGGAAGCUAAAAGAGGACUAAGAGGAUUCUGGGGAUAUUACAAGAUAUUGCAGACUAUCUUGUUUUCCUGGAAAAGGAUUUUACCUCAGUCGACUGAAUUACUUUUUUCACUGUGUCUUGCCACUCUUCGUGCAUGCAUCAAAGACCCUAAUAUGACUUCUGGUGGCCUGGGACUCCUUGGGAAAACAGAAAAGGGGCCACAAAUCCCAUUUUGGGAACAAUCUGUUUUACUCAUGGAACCCCUGGAAUUAGAGGUGUGUAAGUACCUCUCAAAAUCUGUCUUUGUCUUCUGGCUAUGCUUUUUAUGAGGCCCUGGAAUUUGUAGUCCUAGCCCUGUUCUUAGAGUGUCUCACUAGGAGGCGUAAUAAUCCAAUUAGGAAACUAGCCAAUGAAAAAUCUCAUAACUACUGGAUCUUCUUCUGUUUAUCUGUGUGGUUACAUAUGUGUUAUGUGUGUAAUAUCUAUUAAAAAGGGCUCUAAUUAAUUGGCCUAAGAACAGUAAGCACUUAAAUAAAAUAUUUUUAAGGGAAAAGUAAAA
rnacentral:lncRNA from 1 species